CGCACCUUGCACCCUUUGGUAUUCCGAAGGGUAUGCCUGUUUGAGUGUCAUUAAAUUCUCAACCUUACAAUCUUUGUUGCUUGUAAGGCUUGGAUGUGAGGGUUAUUGCUGGCUUCCUUAAGUGCGACGGUCAGCUCCCUUGAAAUGUAUUAGUGGAAUCCCUUGUGGAACUACUUGAGUGUAAUAAUUAUUGUGCUCUUGCUGUGAAACAAAUCUAUAGUGGAAUCUGCUUCUAACCGUCUUGCUACUGAGACAAUUUACUUGACAAUUUGACCUCAAAUCAGGUAGGACUACCCGCUGAACUUAA
rnacentral:misc_RNA from 1 species